rnacentral:rRNA from 1 species
AGUYUGAUCCUGGCUCAGAAUCAACGCUGGCGGCGUGCCUCAGACAUGCAAGUCGAACGCGAAAGCCCCCUUCGGGGGGCAAGUAGAGUGGCGCACGGGUGAGUAACACGUAGGUAAUCUACCUUUGGAUGGGGAAUAACCACCGGAAACGGUGGCUAAUACCGCAUAAUGCAGCGGCACCUAAUGGUGACAGUUGUUAAAGCGGGGGAUCGUAAGACCUCGCGUCUGAAGAGGAGCCUGCGGCAGAUUAGCUAGUUGGUAAGGUAAAGGCUUACCAAGGCGAUGAUCUGUAGCCGGCCUGAGAGGGCGGUCGGCCACACUGACACUGACAUACGGGUCAGACUCCUACGGGAGGCAGCAGUCGGGAAUUUUGGGCAAUGGGCGAAAGCCUGACCCAGCAACGCCGCGUGAAGGAUGAAAUCCCUCGGGAUGUAAACUUCGCAAGAACAGGAAGAAUAAGUAAGGGUUAACAUCUCUUACGAUGACGGUACUGUUUGUAAGCUCCGGCUAACUCCGUGCCAGCAGCCGCGGUAAUACGGGGGGAGCAAGCGUUGUUCGGAUUUACUGGGCGUAAAGGGCGCGUAGGCGGCCACCGCAAGUCGACUGUGAAAUCUCCGGGCUUNACUCGGAAAGGUCAGCCGAUACUGCCGGGGCUAGAGUGCAAAAGGGCAACUGGAAUUCUCGGUGUAGCGGUGAGAUGCGUAGAUAUCGAGAGAACACCUGCGGCGAAAGCGGGUUGCUGGGCUGACACUGACGCUGAGGCGCGAAAGCUAGGGGAGCGA